rnacentral:rRNA from 1 species
GACCCCGCGGUUUGCUACAUCGAUGUCGGCUCUUCCCAUCCUGGGGGUGCAGCAGCCCCCAAGGGUGGGGCUGCCCGCCCAUUAAAGGGGAACGUGAGCUGGGUUUAGACCGUCGUGAGACAGGUCGGGCUCUACCCGCGGGGGGCGUUGGCCGCUUGAGGGGAAGUUGCCCUCAGUACGAGAGGAACAGGGCGACGCGGCCUCUGGUGUACCGGUUGUCCUCUAGGGCAGAGCCGGGCAGCCACGCCGUAGGGGGUAACCGCUGAAAGCAUCUAAGCGGGAACCCCUCCCCGAGACGAAGCGGCCGUUCGCUACAGGGGUAACCCUGUAGCGAGGAGGGCUCCCGUAGAAGACGGGGUUGAUGGAGCAGGGGUGUAAGCCU